UACGGAGGGUGCAAGCGUUAUCCGGAUUCACUGGGUUUAAAGGGUGCGUAGGCGGGGUGGUAAGUCAGUGGUGAAAUCUCCGAGCUUAACUUGGAAACUGCCAUUGAUACUAUCAUUCUUGAAUAUUGUGGAGGUCAGCGGAAUAUGUCAUGUAGCGGUGAAAUGCUUAGAUAUGACAUAGAACACCAAUUGCGAAGGCAGCUGGCUACACAUAUAUUGACACUGAGGCACGAAAGCGUGGGGAUCAAACAGG
rnacentral:rRNA from 1 species